rnacentral:rRNA from 1 species
UACGUAGGGUGCAGGCGUUAAUCGGAAUUACUGGGCGUAAAGCGUGCGCAGGCGGUUUCUUAAGUCAGAUGUGAAAGCCCCGGGCUUAACCUGGGAACUGCGUUUGAAACUGGGAGACUUGAGUGUGGCAGAGGGGGGUGGAAUUCCACGUGUAGCAGUGAAAUGCGUAGAUAUGUGGAGGAACACCGAUGGCGAAGGCGACUGCCUGGACCAGCACUGACACUGAGGCACGAAAGCGUGGGGAGCAAACAGG